rnacentral:tRNA from 1 species
GUGGUCAUCGUCCAGCGGCAGGACGCCUGAGUGUGGAUCAGGAAACGCCAGUUCGAGUCUGGUUGAUCACCCCA